rnacentral:snRNA from 1 species
GGAUUUCAGGGCCGUCUGCCUGCCAUAUCUGUCACCCUGUUGAUUGCUGGGUUGAUUCAGCUGAUCUGGUGGGCUCCACAAGUGUCCCCUUCCUCCCUUGCCAUUCCACAUGCCUCCCUCCCCACACUGCAUGCUCGGGAAGGGACAACCUUCCCCGACACAGGCGGUCCCCUUCGUCAGUCACGGGUACACAGUAGUUGCACUCCCCAGCAUGAACCUCCAAACAAGGAACUGCAGCAGCUCCUCAAGGACUUCCUGGAGGAAGUCUUGGGCUUCUCUGGCCCAGUAGGGCACAGGAGGCCAGAGGAG